rnacentral:rRNA from 1 species
UACGAAGGGGGCUAGCGUUGUUCGGAAUUACUGGGCGUAAAGGGCGCGUAGGCGGCCUGCUAAGUCGAACGUGAAAUCCCCGGGCUCAACCCGGGAACUGCGUCCGAUACUGGUUGGCUUGAAUCCGGGAGAGGGAUGCGGAAUUCCAGGUGUAGCGGUGAAAUGCGUAGAUAUCUGGAGGAACACCGGUGGCGAAGGCGGCAUCCUGGACCGGCAUUGACGCUGAGGCGCGAAAGCCAGGGGAGCAAAGCGGG